UCUACUCACACAGUCACCGGUCCCCUCACUCUCAUUUAUGCUUCACCUGUGAAUGGUGGUCCUGAGACAGCCAGUGCUGGAGCCCGUGUGAGCCUCGGGUCUCCUCCCACUCUGUCCCUCCCUGAUGACAGCCUUAUGCACAUCUCCCAAGCCGGCCACCACGUCCUUGCAUACUUGAUAAUCACCUGUGCCACCAGAAGCCACCACAGCUUUGGGGCACAACCUGAAGACCCUCACAGUCAACGUCACCAUCUCCACCCUCCGGUAUUCAUCAGACAUGAACAAUGGCUAGGCCACGUUCAACUUCACUGAGAGGGUCCUGCAGAGCCUGGUGAAACCCUGGUUCCAGCAGCUCCUGGUGGGUUAAAUCCCACCAAGCCCCUCCUCCAACCCCUGUCCCUCCUGCUCCUCCUCCUCCUCCUUCCUCCCCAGCUGUAUCCUUGUUCAAGAAGAGCAGCCUGGGCCCCUUCUACUCAAGUUGCAGACUGGUCUCCCUCAGGCCUGAGAAGGAUGGGGCAGCCACCUGUAUGGACGUUGUCUGCACCCACCAACCUAUCCCCGUGGGCCUCUAUGCCUCUGUGCUGGGAGCUGAGUGUCGCCACCUGUCUGCUCUUCCUCUCGGUGGCUCCUGGCUCUGCAGCCCAGAGUUUAUCCAUCAAGAGAGAGCACCAGCUACAUUUCCGCAUCAUCAGCUGGAACCUCAGCAUCUCGGAGCCCACAUCCUAGGAGUACUCCGCCUUGCUGAGAGACACCCAGUACCAGGUCACCAAGCUCUACAGCGGCAGUCAGCUUUGAGACAUAUUCCACUCCUGCCUGGUCACCAACUUAAUAAUAUUCUCCCAAUAGAGAUGAUACCUUGACUGAGAAGCCUGGUAAACCUGCAGGAAGCCCCAGCCCAUGGUAGGGGACGAGUAUGUUGAUGCUGUGUCUCAUCGAAGAGAACCGUGCACACAGUGUCUUGGAUGAUGAAGAAUGUUGGCCAACCCUUGUCAAGGAGGGUUGAGGCACAGUGGGGUCACCAGGAGCCCUUGGGCGAUGACAGGACGUGGCUUACCUCACCACUUGUCUCCCCAGACCUCCCCUUCUGGGCCCUUAUCCUCAUCUGCUUGGCGGGACUCCUGGUGCUCAUCACAGGCCUGAUCUGCUGUCUCCUGGAUGAGUCCACUGUGAAUUUAAAUGAAGACUGCAGGAUGAGUGGCGUCCAGGCAGGCAUGAUGGAGAAGCUGACAGAGUCCAUUGUACCAGCUUUCCUGAGUAGGAACAUCUAGAGUUUCACCACCUUCAUGAUCAACUACUCUGCCUCAGACACAUCCCACCAGGUCCUGGACCAGCUGUUUACUAGAUGACUCUGUCCUCUGCCAGCUGUGUACCUUGGGCAAAUCGCCGCAUCUCUCUGAGCCUCAGUUUGCUCUUCUGAAAAGUGUGGGGCUGUAAAUUUCAUGGUGAUCUUGUAGGGAAUAAUGGGAUGAGCCACGGCAGGUGCUCACCUGGUGCCUGGAUCUGCAGAGAGGGCUGUGGACAUGCUGUGGUUGGUCCCCAGCAGCCCCGAGCUUGGUUGGUCCCUCAGACCUGGCCAGGGGCAGCUCAU